GGGUCGGUAGCUCAGGGGUUAGAGCACUUCUCUGAUAAGGAAGGGGUCGGAGGUUCGAGACCUCCCCGACCCACCA
rnacentral:tRNA from 1 species